CAAAUGAGAAAGCUGAGUCUUAAAGGGGGAAAUUAACUUGCCUGAGGUCAUUCAGCCGAUUAAGAAAUACGGUUGGAAUUCAAAGCUCUGGUCAAUCUGACCCUAGGAGUCAAGCUCUUAACACGACUUUAUCCUACCUUGCUUGAGGCUGCUAUACAUAAUUCAAAGAUUGAGGGGACGAGAAAAGAUAUAAUGUAUUUAAAACAUUUUGCACAGUAUCUGACACAUAGUAAGCACUCACUAUAUGUUAGCUAUAAUCUUAGAUAUCAGAGGAUACAGGGAUGGAGCUGUAGAGGCAUUUUGAUGUAUUAGCCAUUGACUGAUGGGGUUUAUUUGUCAUAUCUGGCUGUCUUGGAAGGGAGCCCGUGCUUCCCUCAUUCCCCCCCACCCAAGACAUGCUUCUUCCAAGCUGUAUAAUUGGGCAAAGAAGACAACUUUCCCUGAUUAAAGCAGAGGUGAAGGUGGACUUUAAAUGCAAAUGGUCUGAGAUGAUUCUGAAACAAUAAACAAUAAAAAGAGGAUGAACAUAGUGGCUGUGUCCUAAUUCCUCAUUCUUCACUUCCAUUUUAGGCUGAGAAUGAAAGAAGGAACAAAAUUGAAAACUGAUCCCAUUUAUUUCAAAAUCAUGUCACCUCUGUCAGCUGAAGAUACUGAACUAAGAGGCAGCUUGAGUCUCCUUCCGCUUGUGCAUGAGAUGGCACAGUCUUUCUUCAAAACAAGUCCUAUAUGGGAAUUCCCUGGCGGUCCAGUGGUCACGAUUCCGCACUUCCACUGCAGGGGGCGUGGAUUCGCUCCCUGGUCGGGGGAACUAAGAUUCCGCAAGCUACGCAACGCGGCCAAAAAAAAGAGCUCUAUUGAUGAUUAGAGGUCAGCUGGAUUUUGGCUAAUCUUGUCGGGAUCAGUGGAACUUGGCUCCAGCCAUGAGUUGAGUUCACAUCUCUCAUUCCUCCGUGACUAGUGGGCUGCCCAAGACAUCAUCUUCACAAGGUGGUAGCAGAAGCCCAAAAGAGCAGACCCAGCACUGAAAUGGGUAAAGCCUCUGUACACAUCACAACUACUAACAUUUCAUUGGCUAAAUAAAGUCAUACAGCCAAGCUGACAUCAAGGGGGUGGAAAAUAUACUCCAGCUGUAAUCUCAGGAACUACACAUGGUAUAGGUGUAGGGAGUGAUGAAGUACUGGGAAGAAUUAUACAGUCUACAACAGUGCCUCACAAAAAGAUUACAUGGAAAAAACACAUGCACAGGAUAUAAAAUUGAUUGUACAACUUGAUCAUAACUAUGUAAAAAUAUUUUUUGCAAUUCAACAAAGAAUAGAAAUAAAUAAGCAAAAAUGAAAAAAAUCAUGACUGGAUAACAAGUGGCUAAGAACUGUUUAUUUUGCCUCUCUCCAUUUCUCAAACCUA
rnacentral:lncRNA from 1 species